AACGAACGCUGGCGGCAUGCCUAACACAUGCAAGUCGAACGAGACCUUCGGGUCUAGUGGCGCACGGGUGCGUAACGCGUGGGAACCUGCCCUUAGGUUCGGAAUAACUCCCCGAAAGGGGUGCUAAUACCGGAUAAUGUCUUCGGACCAAAGAUUUAUCGCCUUUGGAUGGGCCCGCGUUGGAUUAGCUAGUUGGUAGGGUAAAAGCCUACCAAGGCGACGAUCCAUAGCUGGUCUGAGAGGAUGAUCAGCCACACUGGGACUGAGACACGGCGCAGACUCCUACGGGAGGCAGCAGUGGGGAAUAUUGGACAAUGGGCGAAAGCCUGAUCCAGCAAUGCCGCGUGAGUGAUGAAGGCCUUAGGGUUGUAAAGCUCUUUUAACCGGGAUGAUAAUGACAGUACCGGGAGAAUAAGCUCCGGCUAACUCCGUG
rnacentral:rRNA from 1 species